UACGUAGGCAGCGAGCGUUGUUCGGAAUUACUGGGCGUAAAGAGCGCGCAGGCGGUCGUUCAAGUCGAGUGUGAAAGCCCCCGGCUCAACUGGGGAGGGUCAUUCGAUACUGAUCGACUUGAAGGCAGGAGAGGGAAGCGGAAUUCCCGGUGUAGUGGUGAAAUGCGUAGAUAUCGGGAGGAACACCAGUGGCGAAGGCGGCUUCCUGGCCUGUUCUUGACGCUGAGGCGCGAAAGCUAGGGGAGCAAACGGG
rnacentral:rRNA from 1 species